GUCGAGCGGACAGAAGGGAGCUUGCUCCCGGAUGUUAGCGGCGGACGGGUGAGUAACACGUGGGUAACCUGCCUGUAAGACUGGGAUAACUCCGGGAAACCGGAGCUAAUACCGGAUAGUUCCUUGAACCGCAUGGUUCAAGGAUGAAAGACGGUUUCGGCUGUCACUUACAGAUGGACCCGCGGCGCAUUAGCUAGUUGGUGAGGUAACGGCUCACCAAGGCGACGAUGCGUAGCCGACCUGAGAGGGUGAUCGGCCACACUGGGACUGAGACACGGCCCAGACUCCUACGGGAGGCAGCAGUAGGGAAUCUUCCGCAAUGGACGAAAGUCUGACGGAGCAACGCCGCGUGAGUGAUGAAGGUUUUCGGAUCGUAAAGCUCUGUUGUUAGGGAAGAACAAGUGCAAGAGUAACUGCUUGCACCUUGACGGUACCUAACCAGAAAGCCACGGCUAACUACGUGCCAGCAGCCGCGGUAAUACGUAGGUGGCAAGCGUUGUCCGGAAUUAUUGGGCGUAAAGGGCUCGCAGGCGGUUUCUUAAGUCUGAUGUGAAAGCCCCCGGCUCAACCGGGGAGGGUCAUUGGAAACUGGGAAACU
rnacentral:rRNA from 1 species